ensembl:lncRNA
UUUGUGCCGCAGAUUUCAGCUGAGCUGCAGAACGAGCUUUUGCUGAGUUUGCUGGACACAGACAGUGAUGUGGUGCAUUAUCUGCUGAGGAGGAAAACACCACAGUGUGAAGAUGUGAAGAGCUCCAGUGGAGAAAUCUCUCCGUAUGACAACAACUCUCCGGUGCUCUCUGAGUGGUUUCCUCCAUCAGGACUGGAGCAUCAGAGUCCCACACACCUCCAGCACGCUCUCGAGAGCAACAACACUGUCAACUUCUGCCUCUCACCCUCACAAGCCAGCGCCGGGGAAACCAUACAUGAUAAGGCGUGUAUCUGGAGAACACGACACGCUCUUCUGUCAGGUCUUCAUGACAAACUCCUCACAGGUUCGGAUGGACACCUGUAUAAACGCGCCUCUUCUGAUGUUUUCUAUGAUGACGAUAACGACAUGGAACCUGUGCAUGAGACGCAAAUGUCCCAUAUGAACGUCUUUGCUGAAGGUAAAGCGCACCUUCAGGUCACAAGUGCAGAUGGCAGUCCUCUGUGCUCCCCACGCCAUCAAUUGCAUCCUAUUGCAUCAAGCUGCUGGACUGCAUUUCACCAGUCAGAGGAGGCGAUGGCACUUCCUGCCAAACCAGAUGACAGACUUCCUGCUGUGUCCUUGCAGCCGCAUGUCACUUCCUGUCAGGGUGCGGCGUCACACAUGCCACCCAAGAGCUUCGGAGUGGAGCAGCAUCCAGACUGGCCCACAGAGAAGUGGCAAAUAUGGCAACUCCUGUCAUCAGAAAGCAUAGACACACUUCCAGAGACUAUGGUGUGAAACAUGCAGCUUAAAGGGACAGUUCACCCAAAAAUUAACUUAGUGUCAUCAAAAGAAGAUAUUCGAAGGACACCAUUGGCUUUCAAUGAAUGAGGCAUUUCUCCAGAUAUUUUCUUUUAUUAAAGGCAUACAGGUUUGGAAUGAGUGAAGGAUGACAGAACGAUCAUUUUUGGGUGAACUGUCCCUUUAAGAGAGUCAAUUUGAAUUGAAUUGGAUGCAACACACAGAAUGUUUAAUUAGGAUUUGAAUUGGAAAGAGAGAAAGCACCGCAAAAUGUUAGCGUAUUGCUUACAUAUCAUUUUAAUACAAAUAAUUAUUGAUAUAAAAAUUUAGGAAGAAUAUUGUAAUGUUUUACAUUUAAGUUUGGGGUCGUCAUGAUUUUUUAUUUAUUUUUUUUCACAAAAGAUAAUAAUUUUAUUGAUCUAGGAUGCAUUCAAUUGAUCAAAAGUACCAGUACAGACAUUUAUAAUGUUACAAAAGAUCUCUGUUUCAAAUAAAUGCUGCUCUUUUGAACUUUCAAUUCAUCUGUGAAUCCUAAAAAAAAUGUAACACAGUUUCUACAAGAAUAUAAAAUAUUUUCAGCAUCAUAAUCAGAAAUGUUUCUUGAGCAGUCAAUCAUCAUAUUUUCAUGAUUUCUGAAGAUCAUGUGACCCUGAAGACUGGAGGAAUGAUGCUGAAAAUACAGCUGCGCAUCACAGAAAUAAAUUACAUUUUAACAAAUUUUCACACAGAAAACAUCUGUUAUAAAUGUUAAUAUCUCACAUUUUUACUGUAUUUCUGAUAAAAUACUUGCAUCCUUGGUGACUUCUUUCUAAAACCAUGUGUUGGAUGUAGUAACACGGCAUUGGUAAUUAUACCCGAAAAAUUACUCUUUUAGCAGUUAUAUUAAUUUAUUUGAAUAGAAUUUUAACUCUAAUUCUAUAGAAUGCAAAUUGAAUUGUAAUUCUGCAUUCUGUGUGUCGUGGCCAGUUCACUUCAAAGGACCGAAAAUAAGCUUACAUUCUGAAUUCACUUCAGCCUCAGUUGAAGCACAAUUGAAUUUAUCAAUAGAAUAUAUUUACUUUUAGUAGUUUGGUCAUUUCCAUAGAAUCUCAAUCAUUUUUUUUUUUUUUUUUUUGUAGGUGAUUUUAAACACUGCAAACAUUUGCGCUUUGGAGAUUUAAAGAUUGAUUUAGCUUUAUCUGUUAAUAAUGCCUGAUAUUUCCAGCUUUGUCCUUCCUCUAGUCAUCGGUUGAUUUCAUCACUGAUGAUGUUUUAGGAAGUAUUUGGCUUCUUGUCGUCACUUCAUCAUCACUUCAUACGGUAACGAGCAUUUCAGAUUAAUUACAGUGCUGCAAACAACCAGAAUGUCAUAUUUACGAAACCCAGUGUGUUUAUUUAUUAAUGUUAUUUAUUAAAUUAGCCACUAGUAUGUUACCACUGUGUAUAAUCACCACAGAAUAAUGUUAGUUUGUUGUCUCAGUAUUGCUUUAUCUGAAUAAAAUCAAUAAUAUUUUUAUCUCCACCAUAUUCAGAUUUUAAAGUCAGAAUGACUCUUAAUUCACGUUCCUGGUUCUAUUACCUGUGAUUCAGAGGUGCACAUUAUUCUGAAGAAACGUGUUUAUCUUUAUAUCUUUUUUUAAUGUAAUAAUUUGCUCUGCCUUUUGAAACAAUUUUAUUUUUUGACUGAUGUUGCUGUAAAUUUCCUCACCCUCAGGUCAUCCAAGAUGUAGAUGAGUUUGUUUCUUCAUCAGAUUUGGAGAAAUGUAGCAUUGCAUCAGUGUCUCAUCAAUGGAUGCUCUGCAGUGAAUGGGUGCCGUCAGAAUGAGAGUCUGAUAAAAACAUCACAAUAAUCCACAGCACUCCAGUCCAUCAGUGAACAUCUGGAUCAGACAAAAACUGAAACCAAUCCAGCAUUGAGACGAUUUUAUCAGCUGUUUGGACUCUCAUUCUGACGGCACCCAUUCACUGCAGAGCAUCCAUUGGUGAGACACUGAUGCAAUGCUACUUUUCUCCAAAUCUGAUGAAGAAACAAACUCAUCUUAAUCUUGGAUGGUGUGAAGGUGGACAUGUUUUCAGCUAAAUAUCACUUUUAGGUGAACUAUUCCUUUAAAUUACAACCACAUGAAGAACAAAGCAAUCACGUCCUGUAUAUGAGUUUAUACACUUAUAAGUGAGUUUUAGUACUUCAUUAUUUUCCCUGUCAGUGUUCUGUUUGAUAUUUCUGAUAUUUGUACAGUCAAGAGCAAUCAUUUUAUAAAACAAAUAUAUAUUUUGAUAAUCAAUUACUUUUAUCCAAAUAGUAGGAGAAAGACCAGAAUACAGAGUAUUUUAAUGACGUUUGUUGUGUAUCAAAAGUCUCUAUGUUUUCAUCAUGCAGUUCAUACACAAUAGAAUGUGAUGAAACUGUUUCAAGAGCCUUAGGUUGGGUUUUUGGGUUGUGCUUUGUUUGUUUGUUUGUUUGUUUGUUUGUUUGUUUUGCCUGUAGUCAAACACAUCUGUGUUCACAAAAACAAUAAAAUGAAUGUCUCUCAAAGUUCAUCUGUGCAACAUGAAGAUUUAUUUUUAUUAAGAUCACAGCAUUGUUUUACUGACAUUGAGGUACUAUUAUAGUUUUUGUUAAUAUUUAGAAUUUUUUUUAUUUAUUUUGUGUUAUUUUUACUUUUUAAAACACUUUUACUUUUAUUUUACUACAAGUUAAUUCAGUUAAACUUUUAUUUAAUUUCAGGUAAUUUUAUUUUAAGUAAAUGAUUUUUUAUUUUAUUUUAUAUAUGUAUGGUUUUUGUUUUAUUUAUAAUAACCCAGUAGUAAUUUCCGUUCAGAAUGGGGUCAUUGUACUUUAUAUGUACUAUAAAUAGAUUGAUGUUUACUGUAAAGAUUGUGUGUGUUCAUGCUUGUCGGUUUCCUUGGGCUUUGUAUUUAGUCCAUUGUUUUGAUUUCCCAGGAGCAGCAUGAAACCACAUUCACAUCCCCUCCAAACAGGAAGUGACAAACAGUCGAGUGAACUGAUGAAGUGAAGUGCACCGAGAGGCUUUUGGCCGAUCUUUGCUCUGUUCUGGGACUUUUGCUUUUGCCACAUUUCAGUUUGUUGAUGGAGUGACCUGUUCAAAUCACACACAUAAAAUAUUAUUUAUAAAAGUUUACUUUUAUAACUUUAUUUACUUUAAAAUGAUAUCGUAAAAGUACUUUAUAAACAUAGUCAAUUUUUUUUAUUUAUUACAUUUGUAUUUAUUAUUAUUAUUAAUAAAUUAAAAUGAAUAAAAUAAUUAUAAAUUCCACAAAUAUUUAUGGAUGGAAACAUUUAUGAUCAUUUUUUUAUUAAAUUUUAUUUAGUUAUUUUUGCAUGCAUGAAAAACAUUGAAGUAGCUUGAAAAUUCUCCCUGCGCUGCACUUUUGGUAAGAGAUGAUUAUAUAGUAGUUUUGUUUUAUUUAUUUAUAUACAAUAUUUUAUGAUGCAUCCCUUGUUUCAUACAUUUACACUAUUUCUUGUAUUUUACAGGUCUUUAUGAAGUAUGUAUACAGAUGAUUGAUUACAGACAUUUAUUAUAUUCUAUAAGGUCAGUUCAUUUUUGUUAUUUGUUUUCCCGUACAAAUAUUUUUUUUAAUUAGUAUGCAUAUAAUCGAGAAACAAAACAAAAUAAAAAAACUGAAGUCUGAAACGUAUCAAAAAGAAAAUAUAUAUCCAUGAAUAUGAUUUUUUCUGCCCCUAUUAGCAGAUAUUUUCUCUUGUUUUAAGCAAAAAGUUAGUUAUAUAUGUAUACAUGACAGUGCACAUAUAUUUAGCAGGACAGCUGUUUGAGUAGUUACUAAAUGAGCCUCUAGAGGGAGACACAAGAGUUCAGUUCAAUCACUGACAUUAACAAACACAUUCAGCAUUUAAAACACUAGAGUAAAGCAUCAUAUUAGAACAAGAAAACAGUAGUUUAGAUGUGUUGAGUGAUUUAAAAACUGCAAAUGAAAUGUUUGAGUGUACUUAAACAACUAAACAAACAAUAUUGUGGUCUGAGAAAUUCGGACUCCAGGAUCACGUAGGUUCCCACAGUCAUGGAAAACCUGGAAAUGGCAGGGAAGGUUAAAACUGUGGUUUGCAGGCCUAGAGAAGUCAAGGAAAGGUCUUGGAAAAUCACUGUGAAAAUGCGGGAACUUUGAUUUGUGUCUCGGCAGGUCUGUUAUUAUGAUUUUAAAUAAAAUUCACCCAGAAAUCAUGAACUGCCUCUGAUGACCACUGAAGGAUUUACAUUCUUCUGUGAAAAGAUCAGAAAGACCUGUGAGCUUCUGUUGAUCAUACAACAACAACAACAACAAAAACCUCUGUUUUCUAUGUGAAUUUGUUAAAAUGUAUUUAAUAUUUUCAGGAUUCUUUGAUGAAUAGAAAGUUCUUUUGAAACAUUUUAAAUGUGUUUGUUGUCACUUUGGAUCAAGUUAAUGUGUCAUUGUUAAAUAAAAGAAUUAAUUUGUUGUUGUUGUUAAACAUCUUCAUAACCAAAAUGUGGUUAAUUAAUUUAUAAAUGUGAAUAUCUUAAAUAAUUAUUAUUAAUAUAUGAUAAAUAAUAUAUUAUUAUGCUUAAUAAUAAUAAUAAUCGUACUAACCGCAAAUAUAAUUAUACAUUUACAAAUAUAUAUAUUUAUUCGCAUUAUUUAUUUAAAAAAAAUUUACUGAGCCC